rnacentral:rRNA from 1 species
UACAGAGGUCUCAAGCGUUGUUCGGAUUCAUUGGGCGUAAAGGGUGCGUAGGUGGCGGGGUAAGUCAGGUGUGAAAUCUCGGGGCUCAACCCCGAAACUGCACUUGAUACUGCCUUGCUCGAGUACUGGAGGGGAGAUUGGAAUUUACGGUGUAGCAGUGAAAUGCGUAGAUAUCGUAAGGAAGACCAGUGGCGAAGGCGAAUCUCUGGACAGUUACUGACACUGAGGCACGAAGGCCAGGGGAGCAAACGGG